AGAACGAACGCUGGCGGCAGGCCUCAAACAUGCAAGUCUAGGGGGUGUAGCAAUACAUCACCGGCGGACGGGUGCGUAACACGUGGGAAUGUACUUACUGGUACGGAACAACUCAGGGAAACUUGAGCUAAUACCGCAUAAGCCCGAAAGGGGAAAGAUUUAUCGCCAGUAAAUCAGCCCGCGUCCGAUUAGCUAGUUGGUGGGGUAAAGGCUCACCAAGGCUCCGAUCGGUAGCUGUUCUGAGAGGAAGAUCAGCCACACUGGGACUGAGACACGGCCCAGACUCCUACGGGAGGCAGCAGUUGGGAAUCUUGGACAAUGGGGGAAACCCUGAUCCAGCCAUGCCGCGUGAGUGAUGAAGGCCUUCGGGUUGUAAAACUCUUUCGACGGGGACGAUAAUGACGGUACCGUAGAAGAAGCUCCGGCUAACUUCGCGCCAGCAGCCGC
rnacentral:rRNA from 1 species